GACGAACGCUGGCGGCGUGCCUAAUACAUGCAAGUAGAACGCUGAAGGAGUAGCUUGCUCUUCUGGAUGAGUUGCGAACGGGUGAGUAACGCGUAGGUAACCUGCCUUGUAGCGGCUGAUAACUAUUGGAAACGAUAGCUAAUACCGCAUAAGAGUAGAUGUUGCAUGACAUUUGCUUAAAAGGUGCAAUUGCAUCACUACCAGAUGGACCUGCGUUGUAUUAGCUAGUUGGUGGGGUAACGGCUCACCAAGGCGACGAUACAUAGCCGACCUGAGAGGGUGAUCGGCCACACUGGGACUGAGACACGGCCCAGACUCCUACGGGAGGCAGCAGUAGGGAAUCUUCGGCAAUGGACGGAAGUCUGACCGAGCAACGCCGCGUGAGUGAAGAAGGGUUUCGGAUCGUAAAGCUCUGUUGUAAGAGAAGAACGAGUGUGAGAGUGGAAAGUUCACACUGUGACGGUAUCUUACCAGAAAGGGACGGCUAACUACGUG
rnacentral:rRNA from 1 species